rnacentral:misc_RNA from 1 species
AGAAAUCAAGAAAUGGGAACUGCAAGUGUUGAGGAGUCUAAGAAACGCCCUCUUGUAUUUGCUUAUUACGUUACUGGGCAUGGCUUUGGACAUGCCACUCGAGUUGUUGAGGUCGCUAGAAAUCUCAUCCUAGCUGGGCAUGAUGUUCAUGUCGUCACUGGUGCACCUGCCUUUGUCUUUACAUCCGAGAUACAAUCUCCUAGACUAUUUCUUCGCAAGGUAUUGUUAGAUUGUGGAGCAGUUCAAGCUGAUGCAUUGACAGUGGAUCGUCU